rnacentral:tRNA from 1 species
GGCUGUGUGGUUCAAUGGAAAGAAUACUCAAAUUGUUGCAUUGAACUUUGAACAUGAGAUCUGAGUUCAAAUCCCAACUCAGUCA